GUUGACCUCGGAUCAGGUAGGGAUACCCGCUGAACUUAAGCAUAUCAAUAAGCGGAGGAAAAGAAACCAACAGGGAUUGCCCUAGUAACGGCGAGUGAAGCGGCAACAGCUCAAAUUUGAAAUCUGGCGCAAGCCCGAGUUGUAAUUUGUAGAGGAUGCUUCAGGGCAGCGGCCGGUCUAAGUUCCUUGGAACAGGACGUCAUAGAGGGUGAGAAUCCCGUAUGCGACCGGUUGGCACCCGUCACGUAGCUCCUUCGACGAGUCGAGUUGUUUGGGAAUGCAGCUCUAAAUGGGAGGUAAAUUUCUUCUAAAGCUAAAUACCGGCCAGAGACCGAUAGCGCACAAGUAGAGUGAUCGAAAGAUGAAAAGCACUUUGGAAAGAGAGUUAAAAAGCACGUGAAAUUGUUGAAAGGGAAGCGCAUGCAACCAGACUUGUCGGCGGUGUUCCGCCGGUCUUCUGACCGGUCCAUUCGCCGCCGGCAGGCCAGCAUCAUCUGGGCGCGCCGGACAAAGGCGUGGGGAAUGUAGCUCCUCGGAGUGUUAUAGCCCCGCGCACAAUACGGCGCCGCCCGGGUGAGGUCCGCGCUUCGGCUAGGAUGCUGGCGUAAUGGUUGUCUGCGGCCCGUCUUGAAACACGGACCAAGGAGUCUAACAUCUAUGCGAGUGUUCGGGUGUCAAACCCCUACGCGUAAUGAAAGUGAACGGAGGUGGGAAGCGCAAGCUGCACCAUCGACCGAUCCUGAUGUCUUCGGAUGGAUUUGAGUAAGAGCAUAGCUGUUGGGACCCGAAAGAUGGUGAACUAUGCCUGAAUAGGGUGAAGCCAGAGGAAACUCUGGUGGAGGCUCGCAGCGGUUCUGACGUGCAAAUCGAUCGUCAAAUUUGGGUAUAGGGGCGAAAGACUAAUCGAACCAUCUAGUAGCUGGUUCCUGCCG
rnacentral:rRNA from 1 species